rnacentral:lncRNA from 1 species
CUGAUAAUGUCGGGGAUGUUGAGGCCGUUAGAGAAACGUCCGGUGGGUCUACGGGUCGGGUAAUCGAUACCAUACGGGUAAUUGUCGGCCCGAGCAGUGGUGACAAGGUAAUCAUUGUUUCCAUUGUCGACGAGAGAAUCACCAAAGACGUAGAAAGCCCUAGAUUUAACUUGUGGUGCAAGAAAAGUAACAAUGAAGAAGAGUGAUAUUAGAUACCCUAGUGGAGAAUAAUUAAUAUCCAUAGUUAUGGGCAGAGAUGUGAUUAGAUAACGAAUGGGGAGAAAGGAUUUAAGUUGACGAAUACUAUGAGAGCAUAUGGUGGGUGUUAUAUAUAGACACGCUGACAAUGGAUAUGUAGGUUUCAAUCAGUAACGUAUACAUAUAUGUUAUAUAUGUGUGUAUGUUUUAAUGUGUUUUGCUUUUUGGUUGUGAAUUUUAAGACGAGAGAAAAACAUUAAUAGAGGCUGCCAACUGAUACACUAUGAUCUUGUUUGUUGUUUGGAUGUAAUAAAUGUUCUAAAUGGAGUCAUUUUUGAACCCUUCAAAAUUUGAUUAGAUGUUAUACUGAAUCACAUGCAUUGUCUACAACCAAUGAGUAAAUUUUGGAAUGACUAAGUAUCUGCAUCCGAUGAACAAUGGUAAGUUGUGGAUUCCACAACAUAUAUGUGAGAAAGUACCAUGUUUAGAAUUAUUUGAUUCUUUUAAAUUUUUUGUUGUUCUUGGUCUUCAUUUUGUGUAGUGUUGUGUGUUUACCCUAAUCUCAAAUCAGGGUGUUAUGGCUGGACCGGGCUCCAAUGAAACUUAAUUUUUAUAGCCAACCAUGGGUCCAUGUCCAACUACUCGGUUAGUUAAAAUGUGAUAAAUAUCCAGUAUCUGGAUUUUUUCAUGUCAUGGGUUAUACAUGAUUCUUUAAAAAUUUGAACUAUUAUUUAGAAAACUGAAAGCUAUGCUCAGGUCAAACGAAUUCCAUCUAUAAGUUCAAAAAUGGAAAGUUAAUAUUGGUAGAUAUUUGCAAUUCAGAUAACAAAAAGCUUUACAAUAACAUGAUGUGGUUUUCUCCAACUAAAUGCAUCUUCUUCAUUAAAUAGUACUCCUAAAAUAAAAUGAAAAUAUAAAUAAAAUAUUCUGGAAAAAGUGUAAAUAACGAUUAAAGCCAUUAAUGUGAAUGGAAUGGGUCGUGUUCAAUCCCAUGCUUUAAAAAAAAAAUAUUUGUGUAUUUUCAAGUAUAGUUCAAGUUUCUGUGUGUAAUGCUUUACAAGUUUUCCUUUUCUUGAAAUGAUGCUUAUAUGCUUGAUAAGUCGACUAAUAUCAUAAACCACAAAUCUCGCAUAGUCGCAUUACACUACUUUUGUUAUUUAAUCCACAUAUUAACAACCAUUUGAUUGAUGUCUGCAUUAAAUUAGUAAAGAACGAAUCUCACAUUACACUACCUAUGUUAAUUAAUCCACAUAAUUACACCUUGCGUUUGUCUCACGUUUGUUAGUGAAGAAAAUGAAAGAAUUGGAUUAAGAAAAAUCCAUACGUAAUGAGAAAAUUCACAACUUCUGUAAAUACAUUAUUCAAAAAUAAAACGUUUGUUGUGUCUUGUUUUUUUUAUAUGUACUUCUCCAUAUAAAAGAAUAAUGGGAGAGAGAGGUGUAAGUGAAAUUAAGAGAUCUACCAACUCGACCAGCUCAGACAUCUUAAAUUAACUUGAUGAAGCUACCCUCUCCAACUGCAUCAUGUUGUAUGAUUUCUGAAUAAAGCAUAAAAAGGGUAAAUGUCAUUUCAAACCAACAUUUUCCGGCUAUUUAUUACUUCUUUAUUUACCCUAAAGGUAAAAAAAUUCAAUUUAUUCAUUUGAAAAGCUAUACAGUAAAAUUAAAAGAUAUCCUAUAUUUCAGAUAUUAAUUCUCUUAAAAAAGAAUUAAAAAAGAAAGAAAAACAGUCCAACCCACGGCAGUUUUUUAGACAAGCCCAUUAUCGAAUGGUUUAAACCCAAUAAAGAAAACUUGAUGUUCGUGAUCGUGGACUCAAUGGUACCUUCGACUUGGACCUGAUGUUUCAUGUUCUGGAUUGCAAAGCACAUGAGAAUCCUGAUGUAUAGCUUCCAAGUUUUUCUUUUUUUGGUAAAAUUUAUAAGCUUCCAAAUUAGUUAUUUGUGCUACGUUUCUAGCUUGAAUCUUAGCAAACACCGAGUCUCUCUGUAAAAACUACUUACGAGAUCAGUACCUGUUAGAGAUAUGAGAUUAAAAGAGGCUACAAGUAACCAGAGCAACGGUGAAAUGAUCAGAGACCAAACAAGAGCAGGACACUGUUAUUAGGGUGUUCACGUUUUCAUCAUGAACCUAACUUCCACUCUUUAUCCAGUUGUUUCAUAUUACUCUCGUCUGAAAGUCAGAAAAUAGCAAAUACACUAGCAUGCAAAGGAUAUGAAUCUCUCUAAACAUGUGAAUAAUAUAUGCAUAUAAAAUAUAGUAAGAAGUAUACAAACUAAAGUACUAAUCCGCACAUGCAUGCAAUGACAUAAUAGAAUAAAGAAACAAACAGAGAGCCAGUUGGGGAAGCAGCCAAACUAGAGGUGGGCUACACAUAUCCAUGUCCCCAUUCAUCACACGUAUCUUCCACUGAAGAAUCAGUCAAACUUUCUCAAAACUGAAAAAAUAAACAAACCAUAUAAUAAAGUUUAUAAAUAUAUGAAUAAAGUCUUCAGAGAAGAAUCAUCUAAUGAAUAACAGUGUUCAUAGAAGAAUAGAAGAAUCAUCUAAUGAAUAACAGUGUUCUCUACAUUGUCUGGAGACUAUCUAGACUCUUGAGUCUCAGCGUAGGAGACUUGGUUACUCGUAAAAACGUGAAAAGUAAAGCACAAUGAACGCAUGGACAAAACAGAAGGGGUCCAUGUGGAUGUGGUUGGAGACUUGGUCUUCAUUUUGUAAUAUUAUAUACUUCUAGAAUGACUAUCUAAAAAAAACGCAGCUUAAUGGAUGUAUACAUUGACUUUGUUUUGUAUCCAUUCUGGGUCAAAGUGCUUCUUUAAAGAUUCCACUAUCCUAUUAUUAUCCCUUUCAAUGGAAAAAAGGAAGAAGUCACUUUAUUCAUACCUUGUUUAUAUAUACACAUGCAGACCAACUACUCUGUCCUUCAUUCAUCAAUAUUCCUAUCUUCCUUUAUCUCUGUUCUAUCUAAAUAGCACUGAAACAUCGUUGAAUCCCUUCCAGAAUGAAUAUCGUAAUCGAACACAACCCUUCAAGCAUAAAGUUAUCUGAACUUGGAGUCAUGUCAUGGCCUAAGUAAGUAUCAAACAAGCACAUGCUCCGUUCCUAACAUGGCUAAUUACAUCGAUUUCUACUUUUUUCUAUCCCUUAUUUUACUGGUUAUAACAUGAUGAUCUCUUUGAUAAAUAGAUGGUCUUGUCAGCCAGGGAAGUAUGCAUUAGUGUUUGAAGAAAGAGAGACAUGCUAUUUGGUGAAGGGAAAGGUGAAGGUGUAUCCAAAAGGGUCAUCAUCAGAGUUUGUAGAGUUUGGUGCAGGAGACCUUGUCACCAUCCCCAAGGGACUUAGCUGCACUUGGGAUGUAUCUCUUUUCAUCGACAAGCACUACAAGUUCGAUCCCCCUGCUUAAUUUUUCUUACUUAUGAUCUAGUUUUUGGUUAGUCUUAUCACCAGGAAGCAUAAAAGAUUAUCUAUUCAGAUUAAUAAAGUAUAGAAGACAAACCAAAAAAGACAAUGCUUAGGAUAUGUACAAAGCUCCUCCUAGAUUAUGUUUCUUUGUUUGCCAGAACUAUAAUCUCAGAGUAAAAUCCCUCUAGCUAGUUCAAAGAGACUUAAGGUAAGUGGUUUCAGCUCAUGGGGGAGUAACUGUAUUCUCUAAGCUUUUGAAAAUUCUUUUGAAGUAAUAAUCAAAAAGUAAAUCUCAUGGGUUAAGAGUUUACUAUACCCUUUUCCAUCACAGAUAAGAGUUCCAGAUUCGUGCUAAUGAAACUUGCUAACUUAAGGAUUCCCAGUAAACUGAUAUUGUUCUUUAUUCUUAACCGAUCAUUAUCAAAGAUUCUUAUCAUGAGGCCAUUGGUUACUAUCACUAACAAGUAACAAAAGCAUAGAAAGGAACCAUUUGAAUGAAAUAAUAUUAACAUGUGAAAGAAAAAUAUUAAACCACGGUUAGAGAUAAUUAAAGAACAUAUUAUUAUCUUAUAACCUUUCUCGAACUAAUUAAAUAUACUUACUGAUAAUGUCGGGGAUGUUGAGGCCGUUAGAGAAACGUCCGGUGGGUCUACGGGUCGGGUAAUCGAUACCAUACGGGUAAUUGUCGGCCCGAGCAGUGGUGACAAGGUAAUCAUUGUUUCCAUUGUCGACGAGAGAAUCACCAAAGACGUAGAAAGCCCUAGAUUUAACUUGUGGUGCAAGAAAAGUAACAAUGAAGAAGAGUGAUAUUAGAUACCCUAGUGGAGAAUAAUUAAUAUCCAUAGUUAUGGGCAGAGAUGUGAUUAGAUAACGAAUGGGGAGAAAGGAUUUAAGUUGACGAAUACUAUGAGAGCAUAUGGUGGGUGUUAUAUAUAGACACGCUGACAAUGGAUAUGUAGGUUUCAAUCAGUAACGUAUACAUAUAUGUUAUAUAUGUGUGUAUGUUUUAAUGUGUUUUGCUUUUUGGUUGUGAAUUUUAAGACGAGAGAAAAACAUUAAUAGAGGCUGCCAACUGAUACACUAUGAUCUUGUUUGUUGUUUGGAUGUAAUAAAUGUUCUAAAUGGAGUCAUUUUUGAACCCUUCAAAAUUUGAUUGAAUGUUUAUACUGAAUCACAUGCAUUGUCUAGAACCG